rnacentral:rRNA from 1 species
GACGAACGCUGGCGGCGUGCUUAACACAUGCAAGUCGAACGGAAAGGCCUGCUUUCCCUUGUGGAUUGCGGGUACUCGAGUGGCGAACGGGUGAGUAACACGUGAGUGAUCUGCCCCCAACUUGGGUAUAAGCCUGGGAAACUGGGUCUAAUUCCCGAUAGGACUGCAGGGUGGUGCCUGUGGUGGAAAACGAUUUUCUAGUGGUUGGGGAUGAGCUCGCGGCCUAUCAGCUUGUUGGUGGGGUAAUGGCCUACCAAGGCGGCGACGGGUAGCCGGCCUGAGAGAGUGGACGGCCACAUUGGAACUGAGAUACGGCCCAGACUCCUACGGGAGGCAGCAGUGGGGAAUAUUGCACAAUGGGCGGAAGCCUGAUGCAGCGACGCCGCGUGGGGGAUGACGGCCUUCGGGUUGUAAACUCCUUUCGACCGCGAGGAAGCCACCUGGUUGGAAGGGUGGUGACGGUAGUGGUAGAAGAAGCACCGGCUAACUACGUG